UCUGUUCCUCACUCCAGCGCCCUCAUGCCCCCACCCUUCUCCUCAGUUCGGGGCUUCGGCGCGCCCCGACCCCGCCCCUCACUCCGGGAGAGGAGCGGGCGACGCGCAAGGGCUCGCGGAGAAAGACCCGGGGCAAGGGAUGACCUCCGCCCGGCCGCCGCAUCCUUGACAGCAGAGGCUUGCAGCCGCCCGCCUACCGGCGAGCCAGGCCUGAGGGCAGCCCUGGAGACCGCGGUGGCCGGAUGCGCGAGCGCGUCACUUCCGGACGGUGCAGCGGCGGCCUCUUGGAAGAUGGCUGCGCCCUGUGGCUCGGAGCUGCCCGCCAACUCGCCGCUAAAAAUUCCGAAGAUGGAGGUGCUGUCCCCAGCCUCUCCUGGUGGUCUGAGCGACGGAAAUCCAUCGUUGUCCGACCCUUCCACGCCUCGGGGUGCUUCCCCGCUCGGGCCAGGCAGUGCGGCGGGCUCGGGGGCAACGGCGUCCGGGGGUCUCGGGCUGGGGCUGGGGGGCCGCAGCGCCGCCUCGUCCUCGGUCUCCUUCUCCCCUGGUGGCGGUGGUGGCGGGGCUGCGGCAGCCGCCGCCGCCGCCUGCCGGGGCAUGUCGUGGACGCCGGCCGAGACGAACGCGCUCAUCGCAGUGUGGGGCAACGAGCGGCUGGUGGAGGCGCGGUACCAGCAGCUGGAGGGAGCCGGCACGGUGUUCGGCAGCAAGGCCCCCGGGCCAGCCAUGUACGAGCGCGUGUCCCGGGCCCUGGCCGAGCUGGGCUACGAGCGGACCCCGUCCCAGUGCCGGGAGCGCAUCAAGGGAAUAUCUAGUUGGAUUGCUUCAUUGUCCAGUUAUGAGAAGGAAACCUAAAGCAAAGAAAGGAGAUUGAGCCUCUGAAGAAUUUUUAAGAGGAUCAGUUUACCUGUCUCCAGACAGCUGGUUCGAUGCCCAGAACUGAAUGCUGUGCUCCAGCUGUGGCCUCACCGGUGCUGAAUAGAGAGGAAGAGCCACCUUCAUAGCUUACAUGUGAUUCCUCUGCUUAUACAACCCAAUACUGGAUUUACUUACUUUGGCAAGAUAGCUGCAUUGUGCACUGUAUUUAAUGUUACGUGUACUGUAACCCUGGGUCUUUCUCUGCAUUGCUGCCGUUAAACCCCCAAUCCUGCCAAUCUAAAACUCCUGCCUUUGUUUACCUGCCCCUCCCCCAUAGACUCCCCAUACAUUCAUCUACAAUGAAUGUCAUCUUUCUAUUCUCUCAUUUCCUUUGACUCUAAUCUUAAACUUUGGCAAACUUUCACUCUGUCCUCUAAAUGAUCAGUUGUCAGCCACCUUAUUUUUCUCCCUGCUUUGGUAAUGGGACAUCUUCCAAAUCUUUUUCUCUGGUUCUUUUCCUUUCGUAGUGCUAAGGACUUGGCACUUGGUAAUGGAUUUAGUAAGCAUCCACCUGGUGUUUCUUCCCAAGCCAAUAACCAGGAACUUCUCUGGUUUUACCCCCUGAUGAGUUCUUCUAUCCAGACUUUCUUGACUCCUCCUGACCUCUAUCCCUGUGCCUUCAUUCAAGAUGGAUAGUAUUAUCUCACAGUUCUUCCUCCAGGGAGGAGACAAAACAUAAUAUCAAUUUACUGGGGAGAUUUCUAACAUUAAGAAAAUUCAUUAUUUUAAAUUGUGAAUAGUUUAGUCUUAAAUACAUCUAAGCAAAUUCUUUGCCCUGAGAUCUUAAUUUUGAAACAGCAGUUAGAGCUUUACUUAUUAUAAAUGUCUAGGAUGGGUAAGGUAAAGGAAGAAGAAAGGGAAGUGAGGUUUUUGUGUUGAAUAGGUUGUGAUUUUUCCAAGAAAGCCAGUUUGAGGUUUUUGUUGAAUUUGGUAGCUGUCUGGAAUGGGAGAUAUGAGACUUCUUUUUUUUUUUUUUUUCCUAGAUUCUGAAGCAUUGUUUUAAUCUCAGGUUUAGAGUAGGUUUUGAAGUUAGUUUAUUUAGGAAUAUUGAUACAGGUACUCAGUCUUUUAAUUAUGUGCUUUGGUUAAUCAUUUAGAGUGUGGAAUAUGUAACCUUUUCUGAUUUACUAUGGGUAAUAAGAAAUGGAAGGUCUCUAUUUGUCUUUUUAUCAAUUUCUAAGCUCUUUCAAGUUUAACUAAAUCCCAGUGCUUGUUUCUGGUAGCAGCAAGCCAAUGUUUGAGUUUUUCCCUUUUUUUUCCCCUUUUCCUAUCUUAGUCAGUGUGUCCUAUUUAAAUGGCCUCUCCUUGGAUUUGUGGUCAUUAUUGAACUCAGAAGUUACUGCUUAUGUGUAUUUUAUGUCUUGAGAGAGUUAAAAUCAAUUUGGAAAUCUUUUGAAUAUACUAUCACAUGGAUUUAGAAGUUACCAAACAUCUUUCCUGCAGGUACCUGAUAGAUACUUUACAUAUCAGCAUAUUGCCCUAUAAAAGUGUAUUACAUAUGUACACUACAAGUAAAAGGUGGCAAGAUCUUAGUCUUUUUUAAUGAAAUAGAAAAUAUAUCACCUGACUCUUCUUCAAUAUCUAUAAUGAUUAGAUAUUGUUGAUUUCAUUAUUCACAAUUACAUAAGCUAGGCAAAAUUUUAAGCUAAACUUGGUGGUUUUAAAGAGUAAGAGUCUUUUCUGUGGUUUCCCACCAUACAUAUUAUCAAAUAUUGGUGGCUUUGUUUAUGCCUCUGUCACUUGCUAUUAAAUGUGGGACUUUUCUUCAAAGGAGCAUUAGUUUUACUUCUUGACUUCUAGACCAGCUCUUACAGACUUCUGACAGAGCUAACUGAACCAUUUUGUGUCCUGAAUGCUUUUUUCAGGCAACCAGUAAGUAGUGAGCAGUGGCAUGGUUUCCAUCUCCAUUUAUGGCCUUGAAAGGGUGAAGGGACAGUGUUGGGACUCUCCAUUUACGGUCCUUGGAGGAGUUGAAGAGUGGUUGGGGUGUUCUUGGAGGCAGAAACUAGACAUUGUGAGAUAAAAAUAAAUUGACAGGGGUUGUUUGCAAUUCAAAUUCCAAUCCCUGCAGGGAGGGCACAGAGUGCUAGGAAAGGAGAACAUGUAGAAAGUAAAAAGAAAUCUGCUACAGCAUUUAUAUUGUAAAUGGUUUGCCCAUGACAUAUAUUUCCCAAGUUUCCCAUGUUUCUGGUUUGUUUCUCUAAGUUUUGUCUUGGUUGUGACUAUCCUUUAUGAAAGAAAGAAGAAAUGUUUUUAAAAAGAGUGUAUCAUUGGAAACCUCUCUUCUCUAAGGCAUCAUUUGAGGCACCAAAAGGAAUCUAAAGAAAGAGAGAAUGGGACAGGUGUUUGUGCAGGGGGUAGGCUGGCUGGCUUUACUGCGGGCGACUCUAUUUAUUGUUCUGUUAAUGUCUAGGAAGCUCAUCAUAUGUGUCAUGCUUUCAUUAUACCUUUUGCCUAUCUGGAUUUCUGGCUUCAAGAGACAGAUUUAAAAACUGACAGCAUAUUUGUAGAUUGUCAACUGUAAUGUAAAGAUAAUGAACUUUCACAGCAGCUCUAUAAAGAUUAUCAGGAGUCGUUUUAGUUUGGUGAGGAUAGGUGAUACACAUUGGCUUGUGGAAAGUAAUCUCACCUUUGGAAGAAAUUUAUAAUGUUGCUAAUGCCUAUAAAUUAAGUCAGAAGUGAACUGGUUCUGUACAGUUGAGUGAAACCCAGUAUAGUAGAAGGAAGAUUAGAAGGACAGAGAGAAGCAGAGGUGGAAUAGAGCCUGAAUGUGAGAAAAUUUGGAAGGUGGGACUAAGUCCAUGAUUUAUCUUUUGCAAUGUCAUAAGAUAGCACAGGAUGUACCAUUAAACUCAGGAAACUGGGCUAAUCAUCAGAAAUAUGCAUUAAAAAUAAAGACCAUGAAAAAAAGGAUUGAAGGAUUGUACAAGAUAAUGAAAUUAUCCAGGUUUUAUCUGUGGACUUGCAUAAUGAUAUUUAUUUGCUGUGUGGCAUGUAGCAGAAAAAGAAAUGAAAUAAACCUCCUACCUUGCCCUCCACCCAGAAAAGAAACUAUUGGCUUUGUUCAUUGGUUUGUUUAGCUAGCUGUUUCAGUUGGUAGACUAGUAAAUUGUCUAGUUUUAGGUGUAGGUAUUAGUGUUCUUCAUCAUUGAUGUCUGAAACUGUGAACUUGUGGCACUGUUGAUUUGACUUCUGUUUGAAAUUUUAGCAGCUUCCACAAAGACUAGUGAGUUAAUAAGGAAUAUAGAUUAUGUAAAUAAUGUUUUAUUAGCUUAUUUAUUUAGGCAGUUGUUUUUACCCUGUAUUCCUUCUUAAGAAUAAGAAAGGUAUUCUUUGCUUUGGGAAAUUCUUCUCUCUGUCCUCCUUCCCUCACUUUUUCCAAAUUCUGGGCACCAUAGCAGCUCUCUCUCUCUUCUGUGGCAGGUGUGCAUCCUAUUGGCUGGCUGGUAUUUCUUGUUUUUUUCCCCCCCUUAUUCUUUUUAAAUGGGGGAGGGGGUAUAAAAUUUGUGUAUGGGGUACAUGCAAUAAUGUUGUAAUGUUUCUUGUUGUUUAAUGGAUAAUUAAUUGCAAAAUAAUUGUUUGAAUUAUAACAUGUUUGAAUAAAUGCUAAAUUAGUAUUUUUUCUAAUAUAAUAAUGAAUUUGAAAUCUAGCAUUCCUGUAACAAUGUGUCUCUGUUUGUCUGUCUGUGUCUGUCUAAUAGUAAUUAAUAUCUGUGGUCCGUACAUGGAAGAGGAAGUACAGCUUUAAAGGAAUAACAAAAGACUUUGUGUCUUAGACCCUUCGCAGGUGUUACAGUCGGGUGAAAGAACAUGGUGUUGGGAAAAGAAAGAGCAGUUACACAUUUGAACAGUUGGAACAGGUGUUUGGUCAGGGAGGAUGGGAUGCUCAGCCCUGCCAGCCUGUACUUA